rnacentral:rRNA from 1 species
CUCUACGGCCAUACCAUCUGUAACGCGCCCGAUCUCCUCUGAUCUCGGAAGCUAAGCAGGGUCAGGCCUGGUUAGUACUUGGAUGGAAGACCGCCUGGGAAUACAGGGUGCUGUAGGCU